ensembl:lncRNA
UAAUGGCACAGAGGAGAUUGCCACUGUCAAACUGAUCAUCACAGGUGAAGGGGUCAGCAUCGAGGAGAAGAAGAAGGUCCUGAUCCGCAAGGCAAGCAGUGGCACCUUCAUCCAAACAGACAAGCCCUUCUAUCAACCAGGGCAGACAGAUUUCCCUGUUUCUCCAGGACCCUAAGAACAACCGGAUAGAGCAGUGGCUGAAUGUAGUCCCCAAAGACGGCAUUGCAGAUCUGUCCUUCCAGCUAAGUGAUGAGCCUCUGCUGGGGACAUAUGUCAUCAACGUAACCAAUGCACAAGCGUAUGGCAGCUUCUCCGUUGAGGAGUAUGGUAUGAGCACGUGGGGGAUAUGUCUGACCUACAGAGAGGACCUCACACUCGUGGUCGGGAAGCUGGGUGUUUAUUCCGUGAUAACCAUCCUGGGAGCAAAUGGGAAAAGUAGUAACAUGUCGUAGAAAAGAGUCUGAGCUGAGGCUUGGGAGAGAGACCGAUUUGGGACCUUGUGUCAGUGUGUGAGAGGAAUGUUGUGUGUAACCCCAGACCUUUGAUGCAACUGAUGCGUAC